rnacentral:rRNA from 1 species
GGGGAAUAUUGCACAAUGGGCGAAAGCCUGAUGCAGCAACGCCGCGUGAGUGAUGAAGGCCUUCGGGUCGUAAAACUCUGUCCUCAAGGAAGAUAAUGACGGUACUUGAGGAGGAAGCCCCGGCUAACUACGUGCCAGCAGCCGCGGUAAUACGUAGGGGGCUAGCGUUAUCCGGAUUUACUGGGCGUAAAGGGUGCGUAGGCGGUCUUUCAAGUCAGGAGUGAAAGGCUACGGCUCAACCGUAGUAAGCUCUUGAAACUGGGAGACUUGAGUGCAGGAGAGGAGAGUGGAAUUCCUAGUGUAGCGGUGAAAUGCGUAGAUAUUAGGAGGAACACCAGU